CGGGCCCAUUUGCUCCCAUCUUCCCCGCGGCUUGUCCUAGGGGCGGUCUCUGUUGCCCUGGGUUACGGGACACGUGUAUCCUAGUCGGCCUGACCCCGGGAGGCGGGCGUGGUACGUUGGGGGUGGUGGCAGCAGCGGCAGGUUUUCCCAUGGAGCCGGUCCAUUUGCUCCCAUUUCCCCCCAUGGUUUGCCCUGAGGGCUGUCUCUGUUGUCCCAAGUUCGCCGGACGUCCAUCUCCAGGUCAGCCUGCUCCCUAGAGGAGGCCACCGUGAGGUCAGGGGGCAAGAGAGGUGGCUGCUUCAGGGAAGCCGGAUGCCCGUCUCCAGGUGACAUUUUAGGUUAUUGGGUCACAGAUUGCUGGCACACUCAUCCCUGUUCUCAAAUAUCUUUUAAACUUGGGUGAAGUGAUAAGUAGGGGAAGAUGAUUUACUGAAAGGAAGUCCCGUUUCACAAAAUUGUAUGUGUUUUUCUCUGAGAGAGAGAAAUGGAGACAGACAGAAAGACGAAGAAGCAGAAGAGAGCGCCCUCAGAAGAGAGCUAGUUAAGCUCUUCUGAGAUCCUCCGGCCACCCUUGCUCCAACCUGAGGACAGACCUACCGUUCCUUUCCUAGGAGGAGGAUCAAUCCAUGGUGCAUUUUAUGACAAUCCUGUCCCCAGGAAUGCACGGAAGGUUAUCAGCUGAGUGAGGGGAAGUGCCUCUGUGUCUCUGUGUCCCUGUAUCUCUGUCUGCUCACAGUGCCCUGCCACCGGCUACUGAACAAGAAAAGUGCUAUUCACCAUGCUGUGUCUUUUGCAGAUGUGUAGGUGAUGGUCUUGUGGCUCAUGUGUGGGCUUUGUGCUGGGAUGGUGAAGGGCUUAUAAAUACCUCAUCAACAUGUAUUCGAGAUGGCCUGGUGCCACACAGACUUGAUUCAUGAAGGCAUCAAGCCUGCACACUGGUUUGGAAACAACUUGGUUUUGAUCAGUCACACUGCAUGCAUGACUCACUGCUGAUCUCUGGGUGUUUUUUUCAUUUUAGAUUUAUUCACCCAGUGUCUUGCUUAAGCUGAAAAAUACAUUUAUUUCACUAGAAUAUUCUCGGAUUCUUUGUUUCACACAUCCAGUUGUUUAAUUCUUUAAAAAUCAUUUUGUGUUUAUAAUGCCUCCUAAUUUCU